rnacentral:miRNA from 1 species
CGAGGUUGUCCUGGGGCUCAGUAUG